UACAAUAGAAUCGGCUCCUCAAGGGUGGAUCGGCUCAUCCCCGGACGAAAGGGGGUGAGGCCAUGACAGUAUACGAGACAGUCUCCCUUAUGAUUGCGUUUGGGAUGUUGGUUAUCGCCAUAUUGUCGUUUCCAAAAAAGAAAUAGACCACCCUUGAGUUGACCACUCGGCGGUCUAUUCCGCAUAACUUGAGCCGGCCCCUUGAGGGGCAGCUAUUGUACCUUGACCGUAGGUGCGGCAACACCUACG
rnacentral:sRNA from 1 species